rnacentral:rRNA from 1 species
GAUGAACGCUGGCGGUGUGCCUAAUACAUGCAAGUCGAACGAGUUCUUCGGAACUAGUGGCGGACGGGUGAGUAACACGUUGGUACCUGCCCCGAAGUGGGGAAUAACUGGCCGAAAGGUCGGCUAAUACCGCAUAAUAUCGCAAGAUUAAAGUAGCAAUACGCUUCGGGAGGGGCCUGCGUCCCAUUAGCUUGUUGGUGAGGUAACUGCUCACCAAGGCGACGAUGGGUAGCUGGAUCGAGAGGUUGACCAGCCACACUGGGACUGAGA